GAUGAACGCUGGCGGCGUGCUUAACACAUGCAAGUCGAACGGAAAGGCUCCUGCUUGCCGGGGUACUCGAGUGGCGAACGGGUGAGUAACACGUGGGUGAUCUGCCCUGCACUUCGGGAUAAGCCUGGGAAACUGGGUCUAAUACCGGAUAGGACCACAUUUUGGAUGGUGUGGUGGAAAGUUUUUCGGUGUGGGAUGAGCUCGCGGCCUAUCAGCUUGUUGGUGGGGUAAUGGCCUACCAAGGCGUCGACGGGUAGCCGGCCUGAGAGGGUGUACGGCCACAUUGGGACUGAGAUACGGCCCAGACUCCUACGGGAGGCAGCAGUGGGGAAUAUUGCACAAUGGGCGCAAGCCUGAUGCAGCGACGCCGCGUGGGGGAUGACGGCCUUCGGGUUGUAAACUCCUGUCGCUAGGGACGAAGCGUUUUUGUGACGGUACCUGGAGAAGAAGCACCGGCUAACUACGUG
rnacentral:rRNA from 1 species